rnacentral:rRNA from 1 species
GCUUGUCUCAAAGAUUAAGCCAUGCAUGUCUAAGUAUAAACAAAUCUAUACGUGAAACUGCGAAUGGCUCAUUAUAUCAGUUAUAGUUUAUUUGAUGGUUCUUGCUACUUGGAUAACCGUAGUAAUUCUAGAGCUAAUACAUGCGUCAAACCUCGACUUCUGGGAGAGGUGUAUUUAUUAGAUGGAAACCAAUGCGGGGCAACCCGGUAUAUGGUGAUUCAUAAUAACUUUCGGAUCGAGGGCAACCUCGAUGCAUCAUUCAAGUUUCUGCCCUAUCAGCUUCGGAUGGUACGGUAUUGGCCCACCAUGGCUUUAACGGGUAACGGAGAAUUAGGGUUCGAUUCCGGAGAGGGAGCCUGAGAGAUGGCUACCACAUCCAAGGAAGGCAGCAGG